rnacentral:misc_RNA from 1 species
UAAUGUUUCUACCACAGAAUCAAAUGACUUGAAGGAACAACAGUCUCUGACCAGUGAGGAAGUUGAUACUCUUUUGGACAAAUGCCUUUUGCAAGCCUUACAUACAACAGUAACAGAUAAAGAUCUUCCUCUGCCUGGAAGCAUAUUAUGGUCCGGCCAUGUAUUACCUUGCAGACCUGUAGGCACUACUUUAGAUAUUAAGAGAUCAUCACACAAGAAGCUAUCUAAGUGGUUACAAGCAAAAACUUCUUCUGGCCUGAUUUCAGCCAAGGAAGAUAAGUACAAGAAAG